rnacentral:rRNA from 1 species
GAUGAACGCUAGCGGCAGGCCUAACACAUGCAAGUCGAGGGGUAGAAGCUUUCGGGCUUUGAGACCGGCGCACGGGUGCGUAACGCGUAUGCAAUCUGCCUUGUACUGAGGGAUAGCCCAGAGAAAUUUGGAUUAACACCUCAUAGUAUUUUUGCCUGGCAUCAGGUGAUUAUUAAAGGUUACGGUACAAGAUGAGCAUGCGGCCCAUUAGCUAGUUGGUAUGGUAACGGCAUACCAAGGCUACGAUGGGUAGGGGUCCUGAGAGGGAGAUCCCCCACACGGGUACUGAGACACGGACCAGACUCCUACGGGAGGCAGCAGUGAGGAAUAUUGGUCAAUGGGCGCAAGCCUGAACCAGCCAUGCCGCGUGCAGGAUGAAGCAUCUAUGGUGUGUAAACUGCUUUUGUACGGGAAGAAACACUGCUACGUGUAGCAGCUUGACGGUGCCGUAAGAAUAAGGAUCGGCUAACUCCGUGCCAGCCGCCGCCGUAAUAC